GUGGCCUCCUGGGCAGUUCCAUAGGAUCACACAGGAAGAUAAGACUUGAGCCUGGUUCACAGAUGGUUCUGCACCAUAUGCAGGCACCACCUGAAAGUGGGCAGCUGCGGCACUGCAGCCCCUCUCUGGGACAUCCCUGAUGGACAGCAGUGAAGGGAAAGCCUCUCAGUGGGCAGAACUUUGAGGAGUGCACCUGGUUGUGCACUUUGCUUGGAAGGAGAAGUGGCUAGAAGUGUGAUUGUUUAAUGAUUCGUAGGCUGUGGCCGAUGGUUUGGCUGGUUGGUCAGGGACUUGCGAGAAACAUAAUUCCACACACAGGGAUAUGGCGCGUAAAUCUCCCACGCUCCUACGAGAAAAUUACUCCCUACUCUACGGUGCCCAGGAGCUGUAUCAACCCUGACUUCUCUCUGGUAUAUGCAUGGAAGGGCCUGGGUGGAAUUUAGCUGCACUGGCGCUAGGAAACUGCGCUGCACUGAGGUAUAUGUAUCAGGGGAUGUGGGAGUGAGGAGCUCACUGUCUUUUCCCAAAGAAAAUUUAACAGAAACAGACUGGAGAAUACUGCCAAAUGCUUUAAAAAACCUUUGCCAUAAUUAGACAAGUGUACAUCUAUGAUCAAGUUGCCCAAAGUUAGGAAGCCUGUUUAGUGUAGUCAUGGCGGGGUGGGGCUCAGAAAGCAGCCUGCAGGGAGUGUGCUGGCUCCAGCCCCCUAGCCCAGCAGAGUCUGCUGGUGCAGGUCACACUGGCUCACUUGCUUCUGAGCAGUGGACUAAAAUGACCAUCAUCUCUGCUCUUCUGCUGCAAAUGGCAGCUGUAAAUGCCUUGGGCCCUGCUGCAAAUUAGGAGAAAUUCAAGUGGGAACACAGAUGGGAAAAAUGUUCACGGUGGUUUUGUAGACCAGUGCUUGUCUUUGUUGGUUAUGAGAGGUGGGAAUGAAAAGCACACACAAUGUGUGGGAGGGCAAUGUGCUUCUCUGCUGGGGUUUGCUGAACC
rnacentral:lncRNA from 1 species